GUUGUUACUAAAUCUGUAGCAUAGGAACUAUGGUCGGCUGAUAGGUUGCCAUGAUAAUGCUCAUUUAAAUCAAGACCCUCUGCAAACUGAGGAGACAGCUUGCUUGAGCUGCCAGGCACUCCUACAUCUUCCCCUUUGCCAUGUGGGACUUCAGAGGGAUCUGUGCUGCAGAAGAGACCUGGCUUUCAUUAGCUUCUGAGGAAUGUGUAUGUACAUCUAAGGCAACUGACAGUGAUUGGAUUUUUUUUAAGAAAGAAUUUUAAUAUUUUUUAGUUUUAAGCUGACACAACAUCUUUGUAUGUGGUGCUGAGGGUCGAACCCGGGCCACACGCAAGCCAGGCGAGCGAGCGUGCUACCGCUUGAGCCACAUCCCCAGCCCUGAUUGGAUUUUUUAUAGCGAGACCCUGUCUUCCUUCCACUCCCUGAAGUAGACCUACCUCGUCUUGCCUGGAUUCCUGAUCUAGCAUUUAUUUCAAGCUACAAAGCCUUGGAAUAGUUAUAUGGCAAUACCCCAUAGAGCCUGACAGAUGGUAAGAUACUCAGUAAAUAUUGGUAUAUUGAUACAUAUGAAUGGGCUGGGUUGUGGUUCAGUGGUAAAGCACUUCACUAAACGUGAAACAAUGGGUUUGAUCCUCAGCACCAUAUAAAUAAAGGUAUUGUGUCCAUCUACAAUACAAAAAAAGUGAAUCAGUUUGGCUACAGCAGGG
rnacentral:lncRNA from 1 species